UCCUCCUCCUCCCGUCCGGAGCCGCCCCGCCUCCUACUCCACCCGUCCGGCGCCGCCCCUCAUCUCCCCCGCGCGCAUCUGACCCGCAGCGCCGCCCAGAGACGGCCCCAGCCCCGCCCCGCUCCAGCCAUGGCCACUGCCCCGCCAUCCGUGGUGCUCCGACGCCGCCCCACCUCAUGCAGCUCGGUCGCGGCCCCCGUGCAGCUCGGUCGCGGCCCGCGUCUUCGUGCAGGUUUGCCGGCCACCGCUUUCCUCUGCUGGCCUCCCUCAUCGUCAGCCACGACGCCGCAACCACCAACCUCGACCGGUGACGGCCAGGCACGCCCCGGUAGCCAGAUCUGGCUCCACCUUCUCCCCUCCUCUGUUGCAGGCCUCCUCUCCCUGUUGAGAUCGGUACACACCGAUUCGUCUCGCCAGUGCAUGCUCCCGGCGGCGGAUCCGGGCCCGCAAUCGUCCCCAGCGCGCCUCCCGUGUGCCUCACGCGGCGGAUCCGGGCCGGCAACCGCCGCCCUAGUGCAGCUCGGUUGCGCCUCCAUAUGCAGCUCGAUUUUGUCCUUGUGGACACUGGCCACCGCGGCAUCGGGGCGGAAUCCCCCUCCUCUCUUCACUCUUCUCCAUGGACGCGAGCCGAUGAGCACCCCUCUGCCUCCCAACAACCCCCCUGGCCGGCACCUCCAUCCUCAGCCCGCGAUGGUUAUCAACAGUGAGCCGCCCCGACCCCCGACGGUGACCAGAUCAAAAAGGGACGUCAGGUCCGUCUGUAUCAUAGGGCGCCCUAGGCUGCCGCUUCACUGGCUGCGCACAGUCACCGUCUCCAGCGCGCGGUUCCAGCAGCAGGGGCCCGGGGAGCGCCUCUCUCUCACCACCGUGGCAUCUUGGAGACAGCGGCUUGCAGUUCGCCAAACAAUUUUUGUGUAUUUUUUCAUAUUAUUGCUGUUGAUUUGGGUGAACUCAGUUUCUAAUGAAGUUUGUUAAAUCUCUCUAUGUAGUUCGGCCGCCGCCGACAUGAGGUUCACUUCGCCAUGGUAGCCCCCAAAAUCAACUCAGUUGUGUGCAGUUCCCAGAUGGGUGCUACUACCUUCUGCACUACUUCUUUGAUCCACUAUGGAGGCAAAAAACAAGAGAAGGAAACAUUCUUGUUUAGAAGACCACUUGUGAAUUUGAUGUGUUCAAGAGCGAGUUGUACAGAUUUGUGUCCUUUGAAGGAAACUAGUACUUGUGAACAAAAGUUCACUCGAGCACAGACGUCCAAACAGUUUGGGUGUGUAGAUUUUUAGUGUUUGGAUGCAUUAUUUUUUGACACA